CCCUGUGGUGGCCCCGUAGUCUGCCCAGUUUGGACCAACACUCAUGAGGAGCACUGGCCCGGGUUGUUGAUUAAGAAACCUCGGGGUAGCUAUUCCCUAUGCAGUUUAUUAUUAAGUGAUUAGCAAAUAGUACCAAUGUUGGGUCCUACCGGACAAGCCUUAACACUACGCGAUUUAUCAAGGGGGUCCCCAUAACAACCCCGAACGUGUUAGGAGCGAUCAUUAUGGAAUCAAACACCGGUAACCGGUAACUAAGGCGGCAAUAACGGAACAAGACACCCAGCAAAAGGCUAGGCCUCCCGUCAUUUACCAAAUAUAUAGAUACAUUAAUUAAAUAACAGAAAUUAAUAUAAUGAUAUCAAGCUCAUGGCAUCUCAUGAGUUAUAAACACCUGCAACUAACAAUGCUAACAUUAGUAGCUGAGCAAGCCUACCUAGCCAUGCAAGUUUGCUAGGAAAGAGUAAGGUGUUUAGGCUCAUGGCAUAUGAAGAGGCAAUAUAUUUUCAGUGGUAGGCAGCGAGCAAUAUGACGUGGAAUCGAAAACUACCAUAACAAGUCUAGAUAUGAGAUCAAGGUCAUGUCAUCUUGCCUGUGAUAUCCUCAGCUUGGAAUGGUUCUGGAUCGUCCUGCACGUACUCUCCUGACUCCACGUAUUCGGUCUCCGCUCCCGGUGCUACCCAACACAAGAAUAACAGCCAAUGAACAGCAGCACCACAAAAUGCAACAAUCACAUGAUGCAUGAGAUGAAAGUUGAGCAUGCACCACUAUUUCUAACACUAGCACAAGCAAGAUAAACUACAACAAGUUCCUGGACAGAACUUUGCACUAAACUAUUUGGACAUGCAUGGGAAUGAUAUGAACAGAUGCAUCUCGUAAAAACGGUGCAAAACCAUAUAAAGAACUUUGCCAACGGAGCUACGGAUCAACGGGAAUCGACGAAACACGAUAUGAAGCCCUACGUGAAAGAUUCAACCCCACACACUCAAUUGGCACAGAUCUGGUGUUCCCAGGUUGCCAAGACAUAUAUUAACCCAACAUGAAUGAAAAGGAGCAAGGUAGAACACCACAACAACAAUUAAGCACAAACUUUGAACAAAAUGGCAAAACUAUGCAAUCUGCCAGUUUCUGCAUCUUAGCUGUUUGUGAGCCACAUGCAACAUAGCUACAGGUCUUCAAAUAUGACAAAUAAUAUAUAUGCAACAUAGCUACAGGUCUUCAAAUAUGACAAAAGCCGCUGGCCGAGGAAGAAGGUGCUCGUCGGGGACGUCGAGGAAGAAGCCCCGGCUCCGGCUCCGCGCGAAAAUGGAACCCCUCCUGGGUCCUCUUGCUUGCGCAGCUACGGGGAGGCGACGAGGUGGCCGCUACGCCGGCGACGAGCUCGACCCGGUGCUGGUCAUGGCGUUGGGGACGACGAGAGUCUCACUGGCGGCGCUGGAGGGAGAGGACGAGGGAGAGGAGGAACCCUAGAGUGGUGGGGAGGUUGAGGCUCCUUAUAACGUCUCGGGGGGGCGAGCUCGGAGCCGCAAGAUCGAGGUCACGCUGAUCGGGAGGCUGAGGAGCGUUCGUACAGCCGUGACGUCGGGAGGAAGGAGACGAUCGCCUCCUGGGCUGCUUGCUGCGCGAAGGGGUAUGGACCUGGGAGGAGUGCAGCGAGAGAAAGAGAGGAAUGGGC
rnacentral:lncRNA from 1 species